rnacentral:rRNA from 1 species
GGGUUGUGAGGUUAAGCGACUAAGCGUACACGGUGGAUGCCCUGGCAGUCAGAGGCGAUGAAGGACGUGCUAAUCUGCGAUAAGCGUCGGUAAGGUGAUAUGAACCGUUAUAACCGGCGAUUUCCGAAUGGGGAAACCCAGUGUGAUUCGUCACACUAUCAUUAACUGAAUCCAUAGGUUAAUGAGGCGAACCGGGGGAACUGAAACAUCUAAGUACCCCGAGGAAAAGAAAUCAACCGAGAUUCCCCCAGUAGCGGCGAGCGAACGGGGAGCAGCCCAGAGCCUGAAUCAGUGUGUGUGUUAGUGGAAGCGUCUGGAAAGGCGCGCGAUACAGGGUGACAGCCCCGUACACAAAAAUGCACAUACUGUGAGCUCGAUGAGUAGGGCGGGACACGUGGUAUCCUGUCUAAAUAUGGGGGGACCAUCCUCCAAGGCUAAAUACUCCUGACUGACCGAUAGUGAACCAGUACCGUGAGGGAAAGGCGAAAAGAACCCCGGCGAGGGGAGUGAAAAAGAACCUGAAACCGUGUACGUACAAGCAGUGGGAGCACAGAGCAAUCUGUGUGACUGCGUACCUUUUGUAUAAUGGGUCAGCGACUUAUAUUCUGUAGCAAGGUUAACCGAAUAGGGGAGCCGAAGGGAAACCGAGUCUUAACUGGGCGUUAAGUUGCAGGGUAUAGACCCGAAACCCGGUGAUCUAGCCAUGGGCAGGUUGAAGGUUGGGUAACACUAACUGGAGGACCGAACCGACUAAUGUUGAAAAAUUAGCGGAUGACUUGUGGCUGGGGGUGAAAGGCCAAUCAAACCGGGAGAUAGCUGGUUCUCCCCGAAAGCUAUUUAGGUAGCGCCUCGUGAAUUCAUCUCCGGGGGUAGAGCACUGUUUCGGCAAGGGGGUCAUCCCGACUUACCAACCCGAUGCAAACUGCGAAUACCGGAGAAUGUUAUCACGGGAGACACACGGCGGGUGCUAACGUCCGUCGUGAAGAGGGAAACAACCCAGACCGCCAGCUAAGGUCCCAAAGUCAUGGUUAAGUGGGAAACGAUGUGGGAAGGCCCAGACAGCCAGGAUGUUGGCUUAGAAGCAGCCAUCAUUUAAAGAAAGCGUAAUAGCUCACUGGUCGAGUCGGCCUGCGCGGAAGAUGUAACGGGGCUAAACCAUGCACCGAAGCUGCGGCAGCGACGCUGAUGCGUUGUUGGGUAGGGGAGCGUUCUGUAAGCCUGUGAAGGUGUGCUGUGAGGCAUGCUGGAGGUAUCAGAAGUGCGAAUGCUGACAUAAGUAACGAUAAAGCGGGUGAAAAGCCCGCUCGCCGGAAGACCAAGGGUUCCUGUCCAACGUUAAUCGGGGCAGGGUGAGUCGACCCCUAAGGCGAGGCCGAAAGGCGUAGUCGAUGGGAAACAGGUUAAUAUUCCUGUACUUGGUGUUACUGCGAAGGGGGGACGGAGAAGGCUAUGUUGGCCGGGCGACGGUUGUCCCGGUUUAAGCGUGUAGGCUGGUUUUCCAGGCAAAUCCGGAAAAUCAAGGCUGAGGCGUGAUGACGAGGCACUACGGUGCUGAAGCAACAAAUGCCCUGCUUCCAGGAAAAGCCUCUAAGCAUCAGGUAACAUCAAAUCGUACCCCAAACCGACACAGGUGGUCAGGUAGAGAAUACCAAGGCGCUUGAGAGAACUCGGGUGAAGGAACUAGGCAAAAUGGUGCCGUAACUUCGGGAGAAGGCACGCUGAUAUGUAGGUGAAGUCCCUCGCGGAUGGAGCUGAAAUCAGUCGAAGAUACCAGCUGGCUGCAACUGUUUAUUAAAAACACAGCACUGUGCAAACACGAAAGUGGACGUAUACGGUGUGACGCCUGCCCGGUGCCGGAAGGUUAAUUGAUGGGGUCAGCGCAAGCGAAGCUCUUGAUCGAAGCCCCGGUAAACGGCGGCCGUAACUAUAACGGUCCUAAGGUAGCGAAAUUCCUUGUCGGGUAAGUUCCGACCUGCACGAAUGGCGUAAUGAUGGCCAGGCUGUCUCCACCCGAGACUCAGUGAAAUUGAACUCGCUGUGAAGAUGCAGUGUACCCGCGGCAAGACGGAAAGACCCCGUGAACCUUUACUAUAGCUUGACACUGAACAUUGAGCCUUGAUGUGUAGGAUAGGUGGGAGGCUUAGAAGUGUGGACGCCAGUCUGCAUGGAGCCGACCUUGAAAUACCACCCUUUAAUGUUUGAUGUUCUAACGUUGACCCGUAAUCCGGGUUGCGGACAGUGUCUGGUGGGUAGUUUGACUGGGGCGGUCUCCUCCUAAAGAGUAACGGAGGAGCACGAAGGUUGGCUAAUCCUGGUCGGACAUCAGGAGGUUAGUGCAAUGGCAUAAGCCAGCUUGACUGCGAGCGUGACGGCGCGAGCAGGUGCGAAAGCAGGUCAUAGUGAUCCGGUGGUUCUGAAUGGAAGGGCCAUCGCUCAACGGAUAAAAGGUACUCCGGGGAUAACAGGCUGAUACCGCCCAAGAGUUCAUAUCGACGGCGGUGUUUGGCACCUCGAUGUCGGCUCAUCACAUCCUGGGGCUGAAGUAGGUCCCAAGGGUAUGGCUGUUCGCCAUUUAAAGUGGUACGCGAGCUGGGUUUAGAACGUCGUGAGACAGUUCGGUCCCUAUCUGCCGUGGGCGCUGGAGAACUGAGGGGGGCUGCUCCUAGUACGAGAGGACCGGAGUGGACGCAUCACUGGUGUUCGGGUUGUCAUGCCAAUGGCACUGCCCGGUAGCUAAAUGCGGAAGAGAUAAGUGCUGAAAGCAUCUAAGCACGAAACUUGCCCCGAGAUGAGUUCUCCCUGACUCCUUGAGAGUCCUGAAGGAACGUUGAAGACGACGACGUUGAUAGGCCGGGUGUGUAAGCGCAGCGAUGCGUUGAGCUAACCGGUACUAAUGAACCGUGAGGCUUAACCUUACAACGCCGAAGGUGUUU